CCGGGCCCCUGGCCUCUGAGCUUCUUCUCAGAAACAUGAGCAAUUCUGGGCAGCCAGGGGCCCUCCCUCAACUGGCAGUCAGCAGUGCCGUGCUGGGAGCCUCCAUUGUAACAGGUCCCUGGAAAUGGGAACCUGAGAUCCCGGAGGGCCGACAGCAGCUCAAAGUCAUGUAGCUUCCCGAGCACCAGAUGAGGAAACGGGAGCAAAGACGCUGAGUAACCUCCAAGGGGUCACGCCAGCCACGAAGUAACAUGACCACAAUUCUCACUCAGGCUUAUUGACCUUACCCUCUGCUUCAGGCUGGCUUCCUUGUUACACCUCCGAUCUCAACCCCCCAGUCAUCCCCCGCCCACCCCACCCGGUACUCUUUGAGUGGGAUAGUGGCCUGCGUUGGGAGGGUGGGGCCAAGGAAGCUUCCAGCAGCUGACUCCCAUGGUGUCACAUCCAAUGAGCAUGCAACUCAUUCGAUUUCAGUGAUUUGAGCUCAGCAAAAAGACACUAAAAAUAGAGAGCCAUGAACACAGAUGCCAAAUUUAAGAAAAUGCUUGAAUUCUCUCGAACGGAGGAGACGUUUGGGGAGAGUUACACUGGGGCUUCUACUGAAUCUGCUACAUUUUUAAAAAAUAUUUUCUUACUGAGAAAACAAGAGCCACACAUGGUACAGUGUUGAGAUUGGCGGUAGGUACACAGAUCUCUGUUAUGUUAUCGUCUGUACCUUUUCCUGUAAGCUUAAAAUAUUUCGUAAUGAAAACUA